rnacentral:lncRNA from 1 species
GGGAAAAAGAGUGGAAAAAGGGCGAGCCUUUAAGUCAAACCCGUAGCAUCAAAUCUUUCAUAUUUCCUUGUUUUGUUUCAUGUCUAAUGUAAUAGCAAGCAAGCAUUGACAACUUCUAAAACUGAUAAUUGUUGCUUCUGCAAACUCUCUUCCCCUCCCUACACGCAUAAAACAAACUUAGAAAGGCAUCAAUUUGCCUAUAGCAGCUGGAUUAAGUUUGAAGGGAACAAAAGAUACCUUUUAUGCUAAAGCCCCAUGGUUUAUUGAAAUAUUGCAGAUUCAGCAGGAAUUUGGCUCUUUCAGCAGCUAUUGCUGGGGAUUUGCAAACCGCAAGCCGUUAAGAAAUGCAUUCCGUUAUGCGCGUCAAGUACCGGUUAAGACCCCAAAAGCUGAAGUCAUGAGCAAGGACAUGAUGCGAAGAGGCUUCUGCUGCGUGGGACCUACUGUUGUUUAUUCGUUCAUGCAAGUGGCCGGUAUUGUUAAUGAUCAUCUUGUAACUUGCUUCAGAUACCAAGAAUGCAAUGCAACCGUCAAAAAAGACAUAAAACCAAAGAUUGAGGAAAUAGAGAGACUAACUAGAGAUGCAGAGAACAUUUGCUUAUCUCGCUAGUGAAUGCCUGAGCCACACGCCACCUUUACCUUUCUCUUGACUAAUCACGCAAAUCUUAGUAAUGAGAAGAAUUUAGUAGCAAGAGACUGAUGAUGACUUAGAUGUUCCGAAAUAUUUGGUUAGUAUUUCCCUCACUGUAUUGUAUCGUGUUUCUUCAUCCUCUUCUGUGUC